rnacentral:misc_RNA from 1 species
AACGCACGAGACCUGCGGACCUGCGGAAGGAUCAUUAAUGAGAAGCUGCCCCUCGUGGGUAGACCUCCCACCCCCUGUGAACUUACCUUUGUUGCUUUGGCAGGCCCGUCCUCUGGACCGCCGGCUUCGGCUGGCCCGUGCCUGCCAGAGGAUUCCAAACCCUGUCUGUCAGUGUUGUCUGAGUCUAUAUGAAAUCGUUAAAACUUUUAACAAUGGAUCUCUAGAUCGGAAGAGCACACG